AUUGAACGCUGGCGGCAUGCUUUACACAUGCAAGUCGAACGGUAACAGGCCUUCGGGUGCUGACGAGUGGCGAACGGGUGAGUAAUGCAUCGGAACGUGCCCAAUCGUGGGGGAUAACGUAGCGAAAGUUACGCUAAUACCGCAUAAGCCCUGAGGGGAAAGCAGGGGAUCGCAAGACCUUGCGCGAAUGGAGCGGCCGAUGUCAGAUUAGCUAGUUGGUGGGGUAAAGGCCUACCAAGGCGACGAUCUGUAGCGGGUCUGAGAGGAUGAUCCGCCACACUGGGACUGAGACACGGCCCAGACUCCUACGGGAGGCAGCAGUGGGGAAUUUUGGACAAUGGGCGCAAGCCUGAUCCAGCCAUGCCGCGUGCGGGACGAAAGGCCUUCGGUUGUAAACCGCUUCAGCCGGAAAGAAAUACGCCAAGGCUAAUAUCCUUGGUGGAUGACGGUACCGGAAGAAGAAGCACCGGCUAACUACGUGCCAGCAG
rnacentral:rRNA from 1 species